rnacentral:rRNA from 1 species
UAGCAUAAUAAUUUGUCUUUUAAUUAAAGACUAGAACAAAAGACUUAACAUCUUAAUAAAUAUUUUAAAUUAAUAAAUCCAAAUUUUCUUAAAUGUAAAAAGACAUUUAUAAAAAAAAAAGACGAUAAGACCCUAUCGAACUUAACUGAAGUUAAACUGGGGCAGUUAAUUAAUUAUUAUUUUAAUUCAAUUUUCAAAUUAAAAUAGACCUAAUAUUAUUAACAACAUAAUUAAGUUACCGUAGGGAUAACAGCGUAAUAAAAUUUUAAAGAUCUUAUUGAAAAUUUAACUUACGACCUCGAUGUUGAUUAAUAACCUUAUUAUAUAUAUAUAUAUAUAUACAUAUACAUAAUUAUAUAAUUACGCAAUAGUUAAUAAAGGAAGUCUGUUCGACUUUUAAAAAAUUACA